CAGCAGAGGGCCGGAAUUUCCCCUUUCCAACUUCCCUUUACUCAAGCCUCGCAGGAAGCUCCCUUGCUGUUUGAGAAUGUGACUGGUUACCACCAAGGAUGAACAAACUCAAGCUCCGGGGUAUCUAAGAAGAGGAGAAGUGCGGGUCAGUCACUAGCUCUGCCUGGACAGUGGGUAAAGCUGUCCUGGCUGUUUCUGCAGUGACCUCAAGUUCUGUUUCUAUUCUCAAGAGUCACUCUUUCCUAUCCAUGGUGGAAGUUCUGAGAGAUCAUCUACAAGGCUCCCAAAGGUUCUUGGGAGUAGAAUAACUAACCCCUGUCUUGAUUAGCCAUCAAUUUGUGUCACUAAAGGCACGGCAAUCUGUUUAACUAAAGGAUUGAUGGAGAAAUAUACGUGGGUCUGAGAUCUAUGGCUUCCCUAGGAGAGGAAAUCUAUGGAAAUCAUACAGAAAGAAGAGCUGCGUUCUGGUGAGAGCCCCAUGACCAGUGAAGUCCCCUCAGCGAGUGGCUGUGGUUGGAGCAUGGAAGGCCGGCAGCAAGUUCGGGAAAUGAAGUGGGUUUGGGGAGCCAGGAGGGCUGCCUGUCCAGUGGGGGAAUCCAGCGAAAGUACGAAUGCAGCAACGGAAGCCGUUUGCUAGGAAGUCACCAGAGAAGAUUUCAAAAUGUACUGGCAGGUCUCCACCAAAGGUUGGGAAGCCCUGGCCUGUGGAAGGAACAACAAGGACUUCCCCUGCUGUCUUUCUGUUCUGCUUCGAAGGGUUAAGCUUUUCCUAACAUUCAGAUGCCAGUUCAUCAAGUGUCUGUCACCAAGCCCCUCCCCUAGCUGUUUAUUAACUGGAAUUAUUGCUCGAUUCUUAAAAUUAGGAUGCAUACAUAUCAAAGGUUUGCUUUUUUCAUAUGUGUGUGUGUGUGUGUGCGUGUGUGAGAGAGAGAGAA